UUAAUAUCAUAAUUUUAACACAAUAAUCUCACAUUUUUAAGCUAAGAUCAAAUGGCCAAUUACAGUAAGACAAUGGCUUUUCUUAGUAUUGCAGCUCUUCUUCUUGCACUUCUUUUAGUGCAUGUUGCCGAAAGUCGAGUGCUUCCCAAAUCUCAUCAUAGCAAGCCAAAACCAAUUCUAAUCUGUACGGAUGUGUACGGAGCAGUAGCUGGCGACACUUGCUUCGACAUCACAAAAGCCUUCAAUCUCACAACUGAUUUCUUCACUACCAUGAAUCCCAACCUCGACUGCGACAAGAUCUUCAUUUCUCAAUGGCUUUGUGUCGAUGGCCUCGCUCUCUCUGGUUGAUCCAUUCGAAGCACAUGAUAUAUGAUGGAAAAAAUAAAGUGAUCACUUUCAAGAAUAAGUGUUAGGGUUUGGUUUUCUCUUUUUCAUUUCAAUAUAUAGCUUAUGUGUGCAUGCACUCGGCACUGAUUGUCGGUGAGAUUUGAACUAAUGACCUUUUGGUCGUGAAGUUACCCGUUUCACCGGAGUCGGGCUAGGGUUGCCGCACCCGAAGGGGCCUAAAUGAUGUUGUUUUAGUAAUAAUAUGUAUUGUUAUAAGAUGUUUAUUCGUGUU